UCGGGAAUUUUGGGCAAUGGGGGAAACCCUGACCCAGCAACGCCGCGUGAAGGAUGAAGUAUUUCGGUAUGUAAACUUCGAAAGAAUAGGAAGAAUAAAUGACGGUACUAUUUAUAAGGUCCGGCUAACUACGUGCCAGCAGCCGCGGUAAUACGUAGGGACCAAGCGUUGUUCGGAUUUACUGGGCGUAAAGGGCGCGUAGGCGGCAUGACAAGUCACUUGCGAAAUCUCUGGGCUUAACCCAGAACGGCCAAGUGAUACUGUCGCGCUAGAGUGCAGAAGGGGCAAUCGGAAUUCUUGGUGUAGCGGUGAAAUGCGUAGAUAUCAAGAGGAACACCUGAGGUGAAGACGGGUUGCUGGGCUGACACUGACGCUGAGGCGCGAAAGCCAGGGGAGCAAACGGGAUUAGAUACCCGGGUAGUCCCUGAGCGGGCUGGCAAGGCGCAU
rnacentral:rRNA from 1 species